rnacentral:rRNA from 1 species
UCCUACGGGAGGCAGCAGUGGGGAAUUUCCCGCUGGCAUGGGCGAGCCUGACGGAGCAUGCCGCGUGGAGGUAGAAGGCCCACGGGUCGUGAACUUCUUUUCCCGGAGAAGAAGCAAUGACGGUAUCUGGGGAAUAAGCAUCGGCUAACUCUGUGCCAGCAGCCGCGGUAAU